UUACUAAAACACAACCUGAAGCAAAUAUGAUUCUCUUCAUAUGGGCACUUUGCUUCAUCCAAGGUGUUUUGGGACAGGUUGUUGUGAAUCAGCCUGAAGUUAAAUCUGCUCAGAUUGGUCAGAGCGUCUCUAUUGACUGUAAGGUCAACACUGUAGUUUAUAGGGUUCCAACGGGUUCAACAUCUAAAGAUUACUACAUCUCCUGGUAUGUUCAGAGAGCAGAGGGUCCCCCUAAACUCCUGAUAUAUUUCACAACAAUGAAGCCCUCAGAUUCUCCAUCCAGAAUGAGUGGUGGAGGCAGUUUUCACUCUGGAGGAAAUGGUCUUGAUUUCUCUCUCACCAUUGAUAAUGUUCAUCUUGAAGAUGCAGGAGUAUAUUACUGUUCAAGUUACCAUGAGAUCACUAACAAAGCUGUGUUCACACAGUGA